GGAAGUAAAAGUCGUAAUAAGGUCUCCGUAGGUGAACCUGCGGAGGGAUCAUUACAGAGUUCAUGCCCUACCGGGUAGAUCUCCCACCCUAUGUUAUUAUUACUCUGUUGCUUUGGCGGGCCGUUAGGCUCCGGCCCGACUACCGGCCCCGGCUGGUACGCGCCCGCCAGAGGACCCAAAACCCUGAAUAUUAGUGUCGUCUGAGUACUAUAUAAUAGUUAAAACUUUCAACAACGGAUCUCUUGGUUCUG
rnacentral:misc_RNA from 1 species